CUAAUCCACAGGAGUUUCAAAGGUGAGCCCAGGUUACAGCCAUUUGCAAAAUUCCUAGAGCCUUCUCAGAGGACAGACAUCGUCUGCGUGACCCUUAAGAUCACUGGAGAAUGCACAUUGAAAACAAGGAGUGGGCCAACUUUAUUCUGGGUGUAGUUCUGAGAGACCCUGCCACCUGGAUGAUGGAUGUGCCAGAGACUCUGGAGUUCAUCCAGAGAAGUCUGGGAAGCAGCAGUGCAUCACUACAGGAGACCCUCUUCUCAGUGCUGGAUGUGCUGACCAUCCAGUCUCCCAGGGAUGUGCUGAGGAGUGUGCUGACCGACCUUCCCCAGUGUGACAGGUACCAGCCCUGACAGUCCCACGUGUUUGUUCCAUGAGAAGAGCAGGGCUCAGAGACGCUCCUGCUGCCAGAGGAAAGCUGCAGGACACCCCAGGCGCUCCAUCCCACUGUGCUUUCCAGUGCUGGUGGGUUGCUCAGGGCUGCAGCAGCCAAUGCUGACCAUGGCAGCCCAGAGCCCCCAUCAGGCUCCUGCCCUGCCCCUCGGGGAAGGCCACCUCAGCCCUUCCUGCUUGCCAGGCUGGGCCCCCAGGCCUCCUCAAGUAAGCGGCUGAGAGCGAGUUCAGCAAGAACUCAAAUGCUGGGAAGUGUGCCUGCGGUGCCACCUCCCUGCAUCUGUUGUUGUGUAGGCAUUUGGGGAAGUCCUCGUAGCUUGUGCAAAAUUCCUGAAGUGGAAGGAGCUCAAGCAGCGGGCCCGGGAGGAGUACAUAGCGGCGAUCAGGAGGUGUUUGGUGAGGACAAUCACACAGCGCCCACCUUUUUGCUGGGGGAAAGGGGAUGCUGGCAGGAG